UGAAGUCAAUUCUCUAUUGCGUAUUCCAGAUAAUAUUGGAGUAUGUUUUUUGUAAAGUGUGUCAGACUUGUCUAAGAGUUCUACAUAGAGGUCAUAACUAUUUAACGCAAAGAUAUGUACACGGAAUUAAGAUUUUCGACGGAGCAGGACUCAAUGUCAGCGUUACAGCAAAAUGUUGGCAAUCGAUGCACAAAAUUUGACGCCUCACAAACUUCAUAUUGAAAUCCAACAGGAUAAAAUAGUGGAAUCAUACUGCGUAUGUAAAGCAGGAUGGAGGCAGAGUUCAGUGCCUGGUCAGUCAAGGUGACAGCAACCUUGCUGUGGAAGCCAAAGUUCUGCAAAUAAUCACGGAUCUCAAACAAGAACAACUUGAUUGAAGGGACGGCAGCAGGAAAAUCAAGCUCAAGCUCACAAAGUCACAAGCCAAGGUAUAAUCACCUGCUCAAAUGGAGCAAUAGCAGACUAAGUUGUCUUGCCAAAGAACACACGGACACUGGAAUUCAGGCAACGGCUGGCAUGCACUGGCUGAAACUCUCAAAGCCAAAAAGUUAACAGUAAACUGAAAUGAGUUUUAGCAAUACUUUCAGAUAAGCAAGCCAACCCAACUGCCCUGAAUCGCCUUGGCAACAAGCCGUGCUGGCAACAGAGCUCCCUCACCUUGAGCACAACUGGCCCGCCUAUAGAGGACAUAGCAAAAUGUAUGAUAUAAAGUUAUGUAUGCGUGCGCUUGUACAAGCAGCACUUCAUUGAGGGAGAAAUAUGAAGUGUCUGUCAGAUAGGUCUGAUAUAAAAGUGAUAGAUGGCUGCACAACAAUGAAUGGUUAUGGAUUUUGAGAGACAGAAUUUGAUGUGUGUUUUUGUCUGAUGCAUGCACUUGGCUUGGGGGGGCAAUAAUCUGUGUGUCUCAAUAAACAUUUUAAAGAGAUUGCUUGGCAAGAAAAAUAUUUUUUUUUUUUUAAGUUGAGGGGGCGAGAUUUUAAUUGCUGUGAUAAU